GAUGAACGCUGGCGGCGUGCUUAACACAUGCAAGUCGAACGAAGCACUUUACUUGAUUUUUUCGGAAUGAAAGUUCUGUGACUGAGUGGCGGACGGGUGAGUAACGCGUGGGUAACCUGCCUCAUACAGGGGGAUAACAGUUGGAAACGACUGCUAAUACCGCAUAAGCGCACAGCAUCGCAUGAUGCAGUGUGAAAAACUCCGGUGGUAUGAGAUGGACCCGCGUUGGAUUAGCUAGUUGGAGGGUAACGGCCACCAAGGCGACGAUCCGAUAGACCGACCUAGACGAGGGUNACCGGCACAUUGGGACUGAGACACGG
rnacentral:rRNA from 1 species